AUUGAACGCUGGCGGCAGGCUUAACACAUGCAAGUCGAGCGAGCGGCGGACGGGUGCGUAAUGUCGGGGAAACUGCCUGAUGGAGGGGGAUAACUACUGGAAAAGGGAGCUAAUACCGCAUACCAUCCGAUGAGCCCAGAUGGGAUUAGCUAGUAGUUGGGGUAACGGCUCACCUAGGCGACGAUCCCUACCUGGUCUGAGAGGAUUACCAGCCACACUGGAACCGAGACACGGUCCAGACUCCUACGGGAGGAAGCAGUGGGGAAUGUUGGACAAUGGGCGCAAGUCUGAUGCAGCAAUGCCGCGUGUGUGAAGAAGGCCUUCGGGUUGUAAAACACUUUCAGCGGGGAAGCGUUACCCGAAGAAGAAGCACCGGCUAACUCCGUGCCAGCAGCCGCGGUAAUAC
rnacentral:rRNA from 1 species